UACGUAGGUCCCGAGCGUUGUCCGGAUUUAUUGGGCGUAAAGCGAGCGCAGGUGGUUUAUUAAGUCUGGUGUAAAAGGCAGUGGCUCAACCAUUGUAUGCAUUGGAAACUGGUAGACUUGAGUGCAGGAGAGGAGAGUGGAAUUCCAUGUGUAGCGGUGAAAUGCGUAGAUAUAUGGAGGAACACCGGUGGCGAAAGCGGCUUACUGGACGGCAACUGACGCUGAGGCUCGAAAGCGUGGGGAGCAAACAGG
rnacentral:rRNA from 1 species